rnacentral:rRNA from 1 species
UACGGAGGGUGCAAGCGUUGUCCGGAUUUAUUGGGUUUAAAGGGUGCGUAGGCGGCCUUUUAAGUCAGUGGUGAAAGCCCGCGGCUCAACCGCGGAACUGCCAUUGAUACUGGGAGGCUUGAGUACAGACGAGGUAGGCGGAAUUGAAGAUGUAGCGGUGAAAUGCUUAGAUAUCUUCAAGAACACCGAUUGCGUAGGCAGCUUACUAGGCUGUAACUGACGCUGAGGCACGAAAGCGUGGGGAGCGAACAGG